UACGUAGGGGGCAAGCGUUGUCCGGAAUCAUUGGGCGUAAAGAGCGCGUAGGCGGCCCUGUAAGUCCGCUGUGAAAGUCAAGGGCUCAACCCUUGGAUGCCGGUGGAUACUGCAGGGCUAGAGUCCGGAAGAGGCGAGUGGAAUUCCUGGUGUAGCGGUGAAAUGCGCAGAUAUCAGGAAGAACACCAAUGGCGAAGGCAGCUCUCUGGGACGGUACUGACACUGAGACGCGAAAGCGUGGGGAGCGAACAGG
rnacentral:rRNA from 1 species